UACGUAGGGUGCGAGCGUUGUCCGGAAUUAUUGGGCGUAAAGGGCUCGUAGGCGGUUUGUCGCGUCGGGAGUGAAAUCCACUGGCUUAACUGGUGGCUUGCUUUCGAUACGGGCAGACUGGAGGUAUGCAGGGGAGAACGGAAUUCCUGGUGUAGCGGUGAAAUGCGCAGAUAUCAGGAGGAACACCGGUGGCGAAGGCGGUUCUCUGGGCCGAUACUGACGCUGAGGAGCGAAAGCAUGGGUAGCGAACAGG
rnacentral:rRNA from 1 species